GAAAGCUUCACUUGCCCUGUAUUCUAUUGGUUCAACCCAGAUUCAAGGAGAGGAAACUAGACCACCCCCUUCUUGACAAAAGGAAUGUUAAAAAAUUCAGACAUUUUUAAUUUAUCAAAAAGGUGAAACAUUUUUAAUAUACUUCAUUUACCCUGAAGCAGAUACUUACUUUUCAAAGUCAAUUCGCAGGUAGCCGCUGUGACUGGCAAUCUGAAGAAGAAGAAAGCCACCACCUACCGUGGUUGAUGCAAGUUUUCCAACCUUCUGGAACAAAAAUCUUACAUAGGCAGCCAGUCACUCCACCCGUUGCAAUCAGGGUGACUACUGAGAAUUUUUCUACCAUAGAUUCUGAACUGUAGCCAAGCACUCGAUUGCACCAGUAGUGUCUUCUCGUAUACUCAGUUAAAUCCGACACUUUAUAAGAUUCAACUCAUCCCUUUCAUGCUCAUGGGGAAGGGCUUCCAGGUUGCCAUAAUACUGCUGUGGCCAGCUCUGCUCGUAUUCCUCUCUCUACUACCUUUUUCCUUUUUUCCCCAUAGAACUCCCAUUUGAAACACACUAUAAAUCACAAAUAGAAAAAUAUAGACUCUUGGAGAAGACACAAUCUGGGUUAUGCCUCUCCUCAUACCAUCUUCUAGAAACAGUAUGCUCCUUUACUACAAUGUACUGAACGCUAUGUGUCAGUGCCCAUGCUGAGUUCAUUUAAUCCUUCCAACAACUGAUGAAGUAUCAAUACAUUCAUGUAACAGAUGAGAAUCAAACAUACAUCUGACCCCCUAUAUCCACUGUAAGAAGGAUAAUUCACAAAAUGUUUCAAGCACUUUCAUUUCAACCCCAAGCCCUCAGUAUUGUUGACAUCUGCAUAAAUUUCAGCUACAACAGCUUUGGAAACUGAAAAUGUGCACUGUUGAGCAAUGCUGGGUCUUCAGGUUUGAUUAGCUUAUGGGAACAACUGCCAUGAUAAUAAGCAUUCCAAACAUACCCGCAUAGUUUCUAGUUACAGUGUAAGAGGAGUUGGCCUCCAUAAUUACCUUUACAACUUUGAAAGUGAAAAUGAGUAUAAAUGUCCAUGCUUGAAGGAAUGAUUUUCCCCAUUUAAUUGCUCUGGACAUCUUUUCCCGUAUUAUGCUUGACAAUGUAUCACCUUGGUUAAUUCCUUUAUUAUUAUUUUCAUCUAAUGUAAUGGAGACAAGUUAUUAAAUAAUACUUGUUUUUCA